rnacentral:rRNA from 1 species
GAGGUAAGUUUGACGUCCUCGGUCGUACGAGGAUGAACGCGUGGCCGGUCGUGACUUAACACAGUCGACUAAGUCGAACGUAAGCACUUAAGACGGAUUACUUCGGUUUGAAGUCUUAUUUGACUGAGUGGCGGACGGGUGAGUAACGCGUGGGUAACCUGCCUCAUACAGGGGGAUAACAGUUAGAAAUGACUGCUAAUACCGCAUAAGCGCACGGUCUCGCAUGGGACGGUGUGAAAAACUCCGGUGGUAUGAGAUGGACCCGCGUCUGAUUAGCUGGUUGGCGAGGUAAGGGGCUCACCAAGGCGACGAUCAGUAGCCGGCCUGAGAGGGUGAACGGCCACAUUGGGACUGAGACACGGCCCAAACUCCUACGGGAGGCGGCAGUGGGGAAUAUUGCACAAUGGGGGAAACCCUGAUGCAGCGACGCCGCGUGAAGGAAGAAGUAUUUCGGUAUGUAAACUUCUAUCAGCAGGGAAGAAAAUGACGGUACCUGACUAAGAAGCCCCGGCUAACUACGUG